CAGUCUAUCGAUCGCUAAUCUGCCCCGCAGUAAAAAAAGGAAGAAAACCGCCCGCCGGCACGACCUCCUCCUCCUCCCGCAGCCGCGCCCUUCACCGCCUCCUCGCGCCGCCGGAGCCACGGGAAGCGGCCGCGGGUCGCCGGGAGCCUCCCCUGCCGCCGGAGCCGCCCCGCCGCGCCCUUCGCCGCCUCCCCAGCCGCAGCUUGGCCGCCGCCACACCGCCUCCGCCACGCCGCCACUCCACGGGCCACGCCUCGAUCCCUUCAUCCUCUUCCCGAGCCGCCGGCGUCCAUCACGCGCCCCCCUACUCUUCUCCUCCAACCUGGCCAGUCCCCACACCCGGAGCCCCUGCGGAUCGAGGCGUCUUCCACGCAGAGGACGACGCGGGGAACCUCCAUUGCCCUCCAUUCUGACGGCCGCCCUACAGUGGCCCUGACACGAUGGUUCCCCUCUAUUGUUGACUGAUCGAGCGACGUGUUCAUUUUUUUUCUGUGGCAGAUCACGACGACGACCCUGACAGCAGAGGAGGAGGAGGACACGGAGAGGAAGGACCGAGAGUUAGACAUGGAUGUGCACUAUGAGGCAACACGCCGCCGUGUUUGCCCCGCCAUCUUCUGAUCUCUUCAGCAUUCCUGCUGUCUUGGGUUUUCUCUACACACGCAGUGUUUUAGAACGAUGCCCGCUUCAGAGUUUCAGUUCAACUCACCCAGACAGAAAUACAUUCUAUCACUGGCUAAGCAUAGUACGAACUGGGUGGACAUGGAGCCAAGGACAUGCUAAGUCAGAACUCGAAGUUGGGACAACUCAACAAGGGAAAGAGGAGCCUCAAGGGAGAUACCUGCAUAACACUGGAUGCACUGCAGAAGGAAUCAGAAAUGUUCUUAUGUUUUAGUGGCGGAAUGGCAAGGCGGCCGGUUAGAUGACCUGGGUCCGUGGUGAGUUGGUGGCUCUCGACUACAAGAAGAUCAUUGAGGCAAUCCAUAGUAGAUUUCAACAAGAAUCUAUAAAGGCUCUAAGGGAGUAGAGGAAUCAAAAGAAAACACCUGACAGUGCAAAGUGCACUUAGGCAGUAAGGUCAACACAAGACUACUCAUGAAACGCCUCCAUCAGGAGGCCAAAAUAUACACAUACGAACUCCCGGACAUUGCAUACCGGGGAGCUUUCUUCUAUUUAGGAUUUAAGGCUGAUAACAUGCUCAUGAAAAGACAGGAAUGUAGCACCACUCCAAUCUUUAGAAGGUUCCCACCCUGUUCUGUGAUGAAUGUGGAUAAAGACGAAGCAGAGAACAUAAUAUCUUGGUGAAGGCAUCUCAACCGAGAUGAGACAUUGUUUUGAGGUUUUCUUAGGUAAACAGGGGGAUGGGCCUUGUCUCGCUAUAUAGCGAGCCGACAGAACCCAUCGCAUCAGGCACUCCCAUAUAUGAGCCAAUCCAUCGCGGGAGGCAGGGCUGGCCUCUAGCACACGUUUUCCUUUUUUUGUUCUUUUUUGUUUUUGCGGGUAUUUUCCUUUUUAUGUUGUUUUAGUACUCAGUACUUUUAUUUAUAUGUUUC